GUGGGGAAUAUUGGACAAUGGGCGAAAGCCUGAUCCAGCCAUGCCGCGUGUGUGAAGAAGGUCUUCGGAUUGUAAAGCACUUUAAGUUGGGAGGAAGGGCAGUAAGUUAAUACCUUGCUGUUUUGACGUUACCGACAGAAUAAGCACCGGCUAACUCUGUGCCAGCAGCCGCGGUAAUACAGAGGGUGUAAGCGUUAAUCGGAAUUACUGGGCGUAAAGCGCGCGUAGGUGGUUCGUUAAGUUGGAUGUGAAAGCCCCGGGCUCAACCUGGGAACUGCAUCCAAAACGGGCGAGCUAGAGUACGGUAGAGGGUGGUGGAAUUUCCUGUGUAGCGGUGAAAUGCGUAGAUAUAGGAAGGAACACCAGUGGCGAAGGCGACCACCUGGACUGAUACUGACACUGAGGUGCGAAAGCGUGGGGAGCAAACAGGAUUAGAAACCCUAGUAGUCC
rnacentral:rRNA from 1 species